AAAAAAAAAAAAAAACAACUCUCUAAAAAUCAGAGCAUCGUCACGACGUUCCAAGGCUCCUUUCCCCCCCACCAUGAUCAAUGCUGACAUUCACCUCAACUUCAUUCCUUGGUCUGUUGUAUAUACUAUUCAUGACCUAUGGGAAGAGGGCACACCCCUUCUUGUGGAGGUCAACUUUGGCCAUAUAACGGGGCUGACUUUGGUCAAUGAAACGUGAGUGGAAGUGGCUCCUGUCCCUCCGAGAGGAAGCUUUAAGAAUCCCCAGGUCCCUCUUGCCUCUGCCACAAGACAGCCGUGAUUCGGAUGGUGGCCGGUCCAUCAGCCCAGGGUCCUGAGACACGAGCGCUCACCCAGAAUGGACAUGACAUAAAUAAAUUGCGUGGCUCUGGAGAAGCACUUAGUAGUGUGGAGAGAGAAGAAUGUGUCAUCAGCCAUGGCCCCUAAGCGGCCAUUGAUGAUGAAAUGUAAGAUCACAGCAUUAAUCUCCUUUAAUAUCAAACUAUUCCUGGUUCUCUGAAAUAGAAGCAUAGGAAUUAUAAUUAAGGACAGACAAAAAAAGUUCACAUCCUCUUCCUUGCACUAGCAGAAGGGGCUACAAUGCCAGAUGCAAGGAUUUGGGCAUCUACGAAGACAAUACCCACAUGAUGCACCAUAAAAAUUCUGUAAACUUUUCAACAGCAUAUGUUUUGGCCUUAGUAUAGUUACCAAAUAUAAUACCAGUUAUAGUAAUUCUGUAUGUACUCCUCAGCAGUAAUAGUUUCUAACAUGGCUUUAUAGUUUUAAGAAAUUAAUAAAUGUAUAAUGAACAGUUGCAUGCUAUAAGAGUUGGAAUGUAUUAGAGCCGAGUUCCCUUUUGUGUGUGUGUGACAUGGAUUUUAUUGAGUUUAUCCACGAUCGUGAAUACUGUGUUGCCUGGAUACAGUGGGAACACGGGGAAAGUUAAAUGCACUCUUGUUUCUGGAAGGCAAACCAAGAUUCUUGGUACGUUUCGUCUUUCUGCUUCAAGGCGUAGAAAAACCAUUGAAAUGACCCCAGAUGAAGUCCCUCUCAUAAAACAGAGUGGAUUAUGGAACUGCUGUCGGUUGCCUUCUAAUGUGAAAACCAGUCACACGUGACCCCACUAGAAGGCAGACAGAGGCAUAAUAGCACUUUACCUUGUCUGAGUCAUUUUGUAAUUUUCAUGCCCUUAGAUACAAGCAUCUUCAAGAUCUCCUUUUGGAAAUGGCUCCCCAGUCAGACAUCUGAAGAGUGAAAGGCUGCUGCCCAAGACUGCACUUCGUGAAUAUUGAUCAGGACUUUGAUUUCCUUAUCCCAUUUCUGUGACGCUCAACAGGUAAGUUGUAAGAGCUUAAGAAAUAGAUUCCGACUCUGUGCCAAAAACAUCUUUUAAAGAUCUCCUCAGCCAAGCUGGGAAAAUAAGAUGCCCCAAAGAGAACUGAAUAGUAACUUAGGGUUCUUCGUUCAACAUAUACUAACAAGGAUGGCAGACCCUAACCUGUCCCGAUGAGCAGAGCAUUCCAUUUGGUUGCAGUUUUUGCAAGCCUAGGGAUUCUGCCUAAUUUUUAAUAAGUUGAACCUUGCGGUAAAAGAAGAGUUUUAUCUACAGAAUUGAUUCACUAGAUCUGGUUACUGGUUCACAUCUGAAAAUAGUUGUGCUCCACGGAAAGCCUCAUCGAUCUGUCGGAACACAGAGUCAUUGUAUUAUAGUCAAGAACACAAGGUGGUAAUUUGUGUAGCUCCAAACAGUACAGGGAGAUGGAGGUUUGCAGUGCCUGGGCAGUAGCUGUCUUGUAGAAGCACCACCUUUCCCAAUCUAAACAAGGUGCUGACGCCAGCACUCCUUAAAGGGCAGCCAGGGAAAGAAGUUCUUGGUGUUUCUAUAAAGCAAACUUCUCUGCCUGCUCUCCAAAUGCUCUCAGGGCUGGUGAGCUCAAGGUCAGGUUUCUGGCUGGCCUUGUGUUCCAGUCUCUAUACUGGUGCGGCCACACCUUAAAAUUCCUUUCCGCAACCCAGGUUCUCUCCAAAGCUUCCUGGCCAGAAGCCAGGUCCUUCCCUGUUACCCUAGAGCUUCAAGGGAUAAUAACCCUGGUGGGCCAACCUAUCAGCUGUGACAGGGCCCAGGUUAUCCCCGCAAGCCAAGCAUAGGCUGGACCAGAAGCCAGGCUCUGGCCUGAGAGCAGGGGUUCCAGAAAAUCACUCGAGGCUCUACCUGGGGUCUCUUGAGCUGUGUCUGGUACCAUAACCACAGCCAUGGGUAGCUGGGGAGUUGCUGUCCAAUACAGCCUCCUUCAAAAAGUAAACAUCCUGUCCAGAAUCCCAUAAAGCACGAUAUUUCAAGUUCACUAAACUAUUCAAAGCACAAAAAGCCUUCCUUCCAUGGAAAACUCAGUGAUGGUUUUAAAAAAAACACACAAAAAAAACGCCCACUACAGCGCACUGCGCUGUAGCAAGCAUUCUGCAUAAAUUAAUAAUUUACAAGUACCUGAGCAAGUAAAAGUAUACACAGCACCAUAGCACAGCACAGCACCGACGGCAGUAGCUCUAAGUUCUUCAAAUCAUGGUGUUUGAAACAUUAAAAAAAUUCUAAAAGUUGGUACAAAAAGUAACUCCAACUGGAGUUGAGAGAUGGAUAGUGCAAACUUCUGUCUUCACUGUUGAACAACGCUGUUGGCUUGCUUCUCACUUUGCAUAGGCGAUGUGGGUGGCUCUGGGCACUUGAUGGGGCUGUUUGGAAGCAGGUCUGCAGGAAGAGCAACCAGAGAGUAGGAAACAAAACUAUAGUUAGAGGCCCUGCCAGCGAUUUCUGCAGACACAGACACCCGGGUUGGCGAUGCCUUUUCUUGCACUGUGACGCGCUUCCAGGAUCGGACCCCACCCCCUGCCCUGGGGGCUGGAGACCCCUCUUGCUUUCAGCAGGAAUUGCAGAUCCCAGAAGGGACCUCGCUGAGGGCUGCAGCAUCUUCAGCCGUUUAGGACCCUUUCCAAAGCUACUGCUCCCGUCCGUCCACAGGAGAAGAGUGCCAUUCAACAGAAAAAUGGUGCAAGCCACAGAGCCACAGUGUGCCCAGCGGCUACUGUAUUAGUGCAGCUCCAGAGCAAAGCUGGGCAUGUGGGAUCCCUCGGAAAUGAACAUACAGAGGGUUCUCCUUCCAGGAGGAGACCAAAGCCAGCUUGCACUGAUGUCAGCAACUGGCCGCUGCUUGAGGUCCUUUAAAAAGAGAGCCUUCCCCAGAGGAUCUAAACAGACAUUUCUCCAAAGACGACACACAGAUGGCCAAAAAGCACAUGACAAGAUACUCAACAUCACUAAUUAUCGGAGAAAUGUAAAUCAAAACUACAAUGAGGUAUUACCUCACACGAGUCAGAAUGGCCAUCACCAAAAAACUCUACAAACAAUAAAUGCUGGAGAGGGUGUGGAGAAAAGGGAACCCUCCUGCACUGCUGGUAGGAGUGUAAACUGGUGCAGCCACUAUGUUAAAAAACUAAAAACAGAGUUGCCGUAUGAUCCUGCAGUCCCACUCCUGGGCAUAUAUCUAUCUGGAGAAAACCAUAAUUCGAAAAGAUACAUGCACCCCAGUGUUCACUACAGCACUAUUCACAACAGCCCAGACAUGGAAGCAAACCUCCACGUCCGUCAACAUAGAAAUGGAUAAAGAAGAUGUGGUAUAUACACAAUGGAAUACUACUCAGCCGUAAAAAAAAAAGUAUGAACUAAUGCCAUUUGCAGCCACAUGGAUGGACCUACAGAUUAUCAUACUAAGCGAAGUAAGCCAAAGACAAAUAUCAUCUGAUAUCACUCGUGUGGUGUCUAAAAUAUGACACAAAUGAACUUAUCUACUCAACAAAAAGACUCACAGACCUAGAGAACAGACGUGUGGUUUCCAAGGGGGAGGGAGGGUGGGGGAGAGAAGUGGGAGUUUGGGGUUAGCAGAUGCAACCUAUUAUAUGUAGAAUGGAUAAACAACAAG